UACGUAGGGGGCUAGCGUUGUUCGGAAUUACUGGGCGUAAAGCGAGUGUAGGUGGUUGUCCAAGUUGGAUGUGAAAGCCUUGAGCUCAACUCAAGAAAUGCAUUCAGGACUGGAUGACUAGAGGACCGGAGAGGAUAGUGGAAUUCCCAGUGUAGUGGUGAAAUACGUAGAGAUUGGGAAGAACACCAGUGGCGAAGGCGGCUAUCUGGACGGUUUCUGACACUAAGACUCGAAAGCGUGGGGAGCAAACAGG
rnacentral:rRNA from 1 species